UGAUAUUUGGUAGAUUCGAUGUAUUAAGUGGAUUUUCCACUUAUUGACAUACUAAAAUUACAAUGGGCUUAUUGAGAUGUAACCCCAUCAUACACCAAGGAUCAUCUCUAUUUGAGGAAUCAGCAAGCAAUGACUUAAGCCAGUCAGCUCAGUGGUCCAGAGUAAGUUUCUCUUCUGGGCCUGAUAUUCUUAUCUAGAAAAGAGCCAUGGUAAUUAUACAGUUGUAAUGUAAAUUAAAUUAAGGAAAUGAGCCUUGCAUACACUACGCAUUCAAUUAUAGGACAUUUCCCUAUAACAACAAAAUUUAAAUUCUGGUUGUAUUUUUUUGUCUUUUCCCCCUCAUAUAAUAUAGAUAAUAGUUUGCAAAUACUUUUGUACUCCUGAAUAUAAUCUUGCAUCUUCAAACAUAAGGGAAACAUUUAUUGGAAUAUUAUAAAACCUUGAUUUUGUAGUAUUCUUUGUGUUCUCUUGGUUUUAAUGGCUUGCCUAUAAAAAAUUACUAAUUCAUGCAGAAAUUAUUGUUUCUUACAUGGAAAGAAGCAUUGGAGAAUGAAAUGAUAAGAUAUAUUUGCUGUUGUAAAGGAUAUUUCACUCAUACAACCAACAAAUACACAAAUGUAUUAGGUUCCAUAGGAAGAAUAAUACAAUUUUAGAGUCCAGAAAUUGCUUACAUCUUACACAAAGAUUAUUCAUCUGAAUUUAAAAUGACAAUCACCAAAUUUAUGCAAAGGUUUUCUGUGAAUUCUGGAGCUAAGAAAGAGAGUUAAUGGUUUGGACUUUGCAAUUGGGCUUCCUUCUAUUUGCCAUAGUUUAUUAAUUGAAUAAGAAUAAAGUCAACUUGGCAAAUAUUUAUUUAGUACCCAUUAUAAGCAACAAACUGUGUUGGGAAGAGUGGAAAUGUGAAGAAAAUGGACUUUUAAUCUUCAAGGAGAUUAAAGUUUUAUGAAGUUAAACUAUGAAAAACUUAUGUUAAAAUAUUUACUUACUAUUUUAAAACAGCUAAAUAACUUGCAUACCAUGUCAAAAGGAUCUCAGAGGAAUGAGAGGUAGUAGUUCAAACUUGGAAAAUUGGAACUUCAAAUGAGUCAAUGAAUAGAAUUAGACCAGACAGAGAGCUACUGGGUAUGAUGUACUGGUUGUGUGAAAUAGUGUGAGAAAAAGUGCAAAGGGAGACUAUAUACAAGGCAUGUUUAGGGAACAACAAGUAAAGUAUCUACAAAAGUCAUUUGAAGGAUUUUCAGGAGAUAAGAAUAUCUUGAAAUAUUUGGGACAAAUUUUUAAAAGUCUCAGAAGUCUAAGUAAUUAUGGCUUAUUCCUGUGAAUAUUGUGGCAUUAGUGCAGACUUUUUUUUUUUUUUUAAGGUAUCAUCUACUUGAAGUAGUGUGUUAGGAAAUUAAUCUGGAAAGAAGUAUAUAAAAUUCAAGAAGGUCAUUUAGAAGGUCUUGUAGUCACAUUGUUAUAACGAAAUAAAGGCUGGAGUAAGUGUUGCAAUUUUGAUCAAACAUUCCACAGACUUAUCAGUGUAAAGAUGAAUAAGCAAUUGCUGGAUGCAGUGGCUCAUACCUGUAAUCCCAGCACUCUGGGGCUGAGGCGGGUGGAUUGUCUAAGCUCAGGAGUUGGAGAACAGCCUGGACAACGUGGCCAAACCCUGUCUCUACUAAAAAUACAAAAAAAUUAGCCAGGCGUGGUGGCACCAGUCUGUAAUCCCUGCUACUGGGGCGGCUGAGGCACAAGAAUCACUUAAAGCCGGGAGACAGAGGUUGCAGUGAGCUGAGAUCGGACCACUGCACUCCAGUCUAGGCGACAGAGGGAGACUCUGUCUCCAAAAAGAAAAGAAAAAAAAAAAAA
ensembl:lncRNA